GUGCUGUCUACAAGGCAGUGGACUUCAACUGUUUUUUGUAAUGAUUUUUGAGCAUACAUAUACAUAUGCUAUUUUUCCACAUCACAUCAUAUACUGCUAGUAUACAGAGAAGAGAAGCUGAAAUUUAGUUGUUACAAUGAACAAGAAAAAAAAAUGCUCAUGGAUUACUCAAGAAGUCAAAAUCUACACUUCCAUCACACUUUAUUUUAAGGUGUAGGUCUCCCUAUUAACUAACCAUUAACUACGGAUUUUGCCUCAAUAAACUCCUAAUUUGCUGCUUAUUAAUAGUUAGUAAGGUAGUUGUUAAGUUCAGGUACUGGGAAGGAAUAAGAAUGUACAAUAUGGUCAUGCAGAAUAAGUCGUUAAUGUGUACCUAAUAAGUACUAAUAAACAGCCAAUAUGCUAGUAAUAUGCAUGCUACUAAGCAACUAGUUAACAGUGAGAACUGGACCUUAAAAUAAAGUGUUAUGGAACAUUUUAAUUGUUCAUCUCUGUAGAAGAGCAGAGUUGAAGCCCAACAAAAGCAUGCAGUUUUAUUUCUUUAAGUGAACCCUGGGUAUUAUGACAUGUAUGGCUUAAUAUAAAGUAAAUGAUGUCUCUUACUGAAAUAUGUAGUAGAAAACCCAUGAAAUAUUUACGUUAUAUUAAAAGGUCCACGUCAUUUUAUACAUAUUUUGGGCGCCAUUAUGACAUGAAAUAAUUUAGUUAGGUGAGCUACUGGUGCUACCUGUUGCUGUUCAGAAUUUCGAAUAUACAACUCUGAUAAUAAAAUAGUAGUAUUUGUAACCCUCAUUCCCUGAAGGAGGGACAGGAGACGUCACGUCGGUAAUAUGGCCAACUUUGGGAUCUUGAUUAGAGAGACAAUCCACUUGAGUGUAAACUACAUGAGCCAAUGCACAUUGGUAUGUGAUGAUUGCAUCCAGCUGCCGCUUGUCACAGCACGAGCAUAAGAGGCAGCAAGUGCAACGCAUACUCAUAGUUUUCCACUAUCCAGUGGGCCAUCCUCUGCUUGAAGACGGCAUUCCCUUUUUUGUUGGCCUCUGUAACAGAUAAAGAGCUGGUCUGAGGUCCUGAGGCUUUGUGUCUGAUUUACGUACAAUCUUAGGGCUCGGACGGGACAAAGCAAAGCUAGGGCUGGGUCUGCCUCCUCCGGGGGCAGCGCUUGUGGGCUCACCUCCUGACUCCUGAAGGGAGUAUUGAGAACCUUCGGCACAUAGCCGGGCCAGGCCUCAGAUUUACCUGGGAGUCAGCCAGCCUAAACUCUAGGCACGAUUCGACCAAAAAUGUGUGCAGGUCCCCUACCCUCUUGAUGGAGGCCAGUGCAAGCAGGAGCAGCGUUUUCAUUGAUAGAAACUUCAGCACGACUGACUGCAAAGGCUUGAAUGGGCCCUGCUGUAGUGCUCUGAGCACUGGAGACAAGUCAUAAGAGGGUGCAGAGGGGGGCUGGGGAGGAUUUAACCUUUUCGCCCCCCCUGAGGAACUCUAACCCUUGAGGCAAGAAAGACAGCAAGACUCUGAUCAGGCAUCUUCUGGGGUUCUCUCAGUGAGAGGAACACCACUCGAUGAAAAGGUUCUACUUCAAGGCGUAAGCAUGUCUCAUGGACUGGGCUCUUGCCGAAGUGAGGACGUCUACUACCCCUUGGGGCAGGUCACCUAGAACCUCCGCAUCCCAUCCAGUGACCAGGCAUGCAGUUUCCAGAGGUCUGGACAGAGGUGCCACAGGGUGCCCCCUCUCUGAGUCAGUAGAUCCUUCCACAGAGGAAUCCACCAGGGGCUGUCACAAGGAGCUUUAGUUCUGGGAACCAGGUCCGAGUGGGCCAGUAGGGUGCCACAAGCAGGACCUGUUACUCGUCUUCCCUGAUCUUGCACAGUGUUUGUGCGAGAAGGCUCACUGAAGGAAAUGAAUACUUGCGCAGGCCCUGCAGCCAGCUGUGUGCCAGGACAGCAAGGCAUACUGCUAGCAACUCUAGGCAGUUAAUGUGCCAGAGUAGCUGGAGGCCCGUCCAAACCCCCGACACUGCCUGCCCAUCAUACGUGGUCCCCUAACUUCAGAGUAGUGCAGGUCCUACAGUGCCUUGGCCUGAUAAACCUGCAGUAAUGCCACGGCGUGUAAGGUGGAGGCAGCUUCUCCGCAGACUGCAUAAGCACUGCCGAUCAGAGCCAACAAGUGCCUAUGGGCUUGGGAGAGGAGCAGUGACUUGCCCCGCCAUGUGGAAGCGGUACUGGGACACAUCUGCAUCGCUUCCGACACUCCACCGGAGGGACCUUCGUGUACCUGUCAAGGAUGGUGAGGGAGGAUGAACCACUGGAGCUGUUUCUGGCAGUAAAAGGUAUCGUCCACGUCUCAGUGAGCUCGUCAUGCACUUUCAGAAAUAAAGGGUGGAGCCCUGAGAACCAGGGUGAGCUGAGUAUACGUUGCACCUGGAUGCAAUCAACGCAUCCCAAUUUGCAUUUGCUUGUUUAGUUCCACUCAAAGUGGAUUGGUCUCUUUAAGCGAGAUCAUAUUAUUACGGUUAUGACGUCGAGAGUGAGUGACUAACAUUACCAUAUAAGUCUUAAUACCCAGGGUUCCUUUUAACCACCACAUAAUGAAACUGUAAGGAAAGGAAAAUUUGAUUUCUCAUAUCAUGACAUCACUUUAAUAUUUAUAUUUAACACUUCACUUGUAUUAGAGUCAUAAUUUCAUUGUUUCUCUUUCUCAGGAUGUGUGGUUUCACUCCCACCCUUAUGAUGGCCAUGGUCAGUUUAGAUUCUUGUUAAAUGUUGAGAACUCCACUGUAGACUGUGGGUAUUUGGCCUACGAGUCUGAUCCAAAAUUCAUUGAAUUUACCACCAUACAGGUGGCCCAUGGUCUACAGGUGAACAUUCAGAAAAAGGCAGAUCUGUUGAAUUUAAGUAUCAGUGAAGUGACAGUGACGGGUCUACAGGCAGAUCGGCAGUAUCAGUGUGUUUUGAAGAAGAUUGAGGUGUAUUCCAUUAUCUGUGAGAUAGCAGGACCCGUCCCAGUAGUGGACUCACUCACUAUCAAGAUUGGGAAUUAUGUUCUCGGGAUGAGUAGUAAAAUGCAUCAAUUCUGCCUCAGUCCACAGAAUACACCUGGCCAAGGUUAAAGGAAUAAUGGAAACACAAAUAAUACUCAGCAUCCUCCAGUGGGAAAAAAGAAAAUUCCUUUCUCACAUCUAGAUAGUUCUAUAGCUUUUAUACCUAUUUUUCAGCUUUAAUUAACACUAUAUGUUGUAUGUGCUCUAACUAUUUGAUGUGAUUCAGACACAAGCAAAUAUUUAUAUGCAAACUUCAUAAGAAAACAUGAUAUAAUGUUGAUUACAUCUACAGUAAGUCUGCAUAAGAGGUCAAUACGUCACUAUCUACUCAUUUAUUAUACACUGCAUAAACAGUUAAGGGCAGUUAUUUAGUACUGUAGUACAAUAGUCAAAGACAUUGGGUGUAAGAUUUUUUUUCAUUAUACAUCUACACAAUUGUAAUUUUCUGUUACUAAUCAGAUAACAGUUAUCAAUGUAGUCUCUUCCGUUAAACAGCAUAUUUACUAAUAAACAUAGCAAAUAUACUGUAUGAAAUCCGUUAUAGUCUUGUUUGUUUCUAAAUGAUCCCACACACAUAAACACACAACAUUCUUUCACACAAACAUUAUUAGUUCUCCAAGUCAUCAGAGCACACAACACACACUGUACUGCAUUAUUUAUCAGGUCUCUACAAUUUAAGAUGGCAAAUUUCAUCCAAGUCCUAUUAUUCCUAUUCAUAUUAUUACUACAGUUACACUAUAAACCCUUUCAAGCACAGAAUUUCAUUCAAACAUUUAAUUUCAAUGGCAUUAACAAUGGAUAGGUAUGAUAUGAAGUAGGGUUCAAGGGUCAUUUUGAUAUGAUUUUUUAUCAACAAAGGCAGAAUAAUUACAACCACUUCGCCAUCUCAUAUUGUAUUUCCCACAUAUGCACUGUGGCUAGACAUAACCACCACAUUUGUAGAAACUGCUUAGUAUUUUAUACUAGUGCAAUUACAGUGAUAUUUCAUUCUGCUACAUGCUACAGAAAAAGUGCUGUAUGUGGAAGUUUAUAAUUGCAAAAGGUUUUUUUAUGUUGAAGGAAGGAAAUGAAGUUCUGUCUAAAUGCUGUAUCCACAGUGCAUUUGUGCACGUCCUAACUAUGAAUAACUACAUGUUUUAGUCUCAUUUCCUCAUUGGCAUGAAUUGGGAAUACUGUAUCAGUCAAAUUUACCCCUAAAAUGGAGGCUAGAGCUCAAAGACCGUCUUAGCUGUGCAUUAAAGGGAUAGAUCAUCCCAAAAUGAAAAUUCUCUCAUCAUUUACUCACCCUCAAGUUGUUCCAAACGUGUAUGAAUUUCUUUCGUAUGUUGUAAACAUAAUUUGAAGAAUAUGGGUAGCCAAAUAGUUGAUUUACCUCCGAAAAAAUAAAUUAAUGCAGGUUUGGAACAACUGGAGAGUGAGUAAAUAAAUUUUUUUUAUUAACUUUUAAAUGUUAAACUUUCAUUUUUGACUGAACUCUUUAAGUGGCUCUGAAAUUGCUUGUACUUUGUCUACAUUUUUUAUGUGGCAUUGUCAUGUAUAUUUCAUGUACAUUUUUUGCAUUAAUAUAUAAUAUAUUGAAAUAUAUUUAUAUCUAAAUAUCUAUGAUAUAAUAUACAUGUAAAUGUAUUCAAAACAGUUAAA